rnacentral:rRNA from 1 species
AGAACGAACGCUGGCGGCAUGCCUAACACAUGCAAGUCGAACGCUUCCGGGGCUUCGGUCGCGGAGGAGUGGCGCACGGGUGAGUAGCGCGUGGGAACCUGCCCUGUUGUGGGGGAUAACCGAGGGAAACUUCGGCUAAUACCGCAUACGCCCCGGGACUUGGUCUUCGGAUUAGGUCUGGGGGGAAAGAUUGAUCGCAGCAGGAGGGGCCCGCGUCGGAUUAGCUGGUUGGUGGGGUAACGGCUCACCAAGGCGAUGAUCCGUAGCUGGUCUGAGAGGAUGAUCAGCCACACUGGGACUGAGACACGGCCCAGACUCCUACGGGAGGCAGCAGUGGGGAAUAUUGGACAAUGGGGGCAACCCUGAUCCAGCAAUGCCGCGUGAGUGAUGAAGGCCUUAGGGUUGUAAAGCUCUUUCGCCGCGACGAUGAUGACGGUAGCGGGAGAAGAAGCCCGGCUAACUUCGCGCCAGCAGCCGCGGU